UUGUUUAUUUUGUUUAUGACUCGGACGCAUUAAUGCAGUGUAAAAAUGACCUCCGGGGCCGCCGCGAGGCGUUACCCCGAAGCAACAGCGUCGAUUCGCAAGGGGUUGGAGGUAGGGCCACGAGGGCCCGUAACUCGGUAAUGAUCCCUCCGCAGGUUCACCUACGGAGA
rnacentral:misc_RNA from 1 species